CCAGACUCCUACGGGAGGCAGCAGUGAGGAAUAUUGGUCAAUGGCCGAGAGGCUGAACCAGCCAAGUCGCGUGAGGGAAGACGGCCCUACGGGUUGUAAACCUCUUUUGUCGGGGAGCAAAGAGAGUCACGUGUGACUCAUUGAGAGUACCCGAAGAAAAAGCAUCGGCUAACUCCGUGCCAGCAGCCGCGGUAAUACGGAGGAUGCGAGCGUUAUCCGGAUUUAUUGGGUUUAAAGGGUGCGUAGGCGGGACCUUAAGUCAGCGGUAAAAUUGCGGUGCUCAACGCCGUAGAGCCGUUGAAACUGGGAUUCUUGAGUGAGCGAGAAGUAUGCGGAAUGCGUGGUGUAGCGGUGAAAUGCAUAGAUAUCACGCAGAACUCCGAUUGCGAAGGCAGCAUACCGGCGCCCGACUGACGCUGAAGCACGAAAGCGUGGGUAUCGAACAGGAUUAGAUACCCCUGUA
rnacentral:rRNA from 1 species